AUUUUCUUCAUUUUUGCAGAUAGAUCAUUGUCCAGCACGUUCUCAGAAUUCGAUCGUCCAGAAACCAUUGACUUUGGGGAUGGACUACGACGUCUGUGAUUAAAAACCGGCUUGUCAACCUAUCGAAAGAUAUUGUAGGUGGCAAAUAAAACAUGCCUGGAAGUGCACUGAAUGACUAACAGUCGACAUUACGUUUGUUUACAAACAGAAAAACGCGAAUCAAAGACACGAGAUGCCCAAUUCGAUGACGUUCCAAACCACAAUGAUGAAGUGAUAGGCAGUAUGUAACGCAGUACACGACGUAUUCUUCAAAUGAUAAACAUGUAGCUAAUGAAGUCAUCUGCGAUUACAUUAUGCAGUAAUGGGUGCGGAGAGAUAAUUGAACUAAUUCGCAGAUCAGUUGCGAGAUACUGCAAACAGGACAUAUAAAGAGGUUUACACCGGUUGAGCCAAUGUUAAGACUUGUCAGUAGUUAUAUGUAUGCGUUUUAAGAAUAAUGUCCACAAAGCGAUUUACAAGAAAAUACGAUCUAGGCUGCGAUUAUGUAUACUUACAAUGAGCCGUUUUAAGGCCUAUAUCACCAAAAUAACAAGCAAAUAUAGAUGGUAGUGUUGAUUCAUUCCAACUCUAUUCGCUUAACGCAGUUUCAAAGUAUUUCUAUUACCAAUGUAUAUUUGAAAAAAUCUGAUGUGCUGGUCUCUCUUUAUCAGCAAACUCUAUUUGAAACUCUCUGAUGAUACAAAA